rnacentral:rRNA from 1 species
GACGAACCGUGCGAACGUUAUUCGGAAUCACUGGGCUUAAAGGGCGCGUAGGCGGGUCAUCAAGUCCGGGGUGAAAUCCCACGGCCCAACCGUGGAAGUGCCUUGGAUACUGAAGACCUCGAGGGGGAUAGGGGCGUGCGGAACUCAGGGUGGAGCGGUGAAAUGCGUAGAUAUCCUGAGGAACACCGGUGGCGAAAGCGGCGCGCGUGGAUCCCGUUCUCUGACGCUGAGGCGCGGAAAGCCCAGGGAAGCAAAGCGGGGAUUAAGA